AGUCUACUCUAGUUCUCAGGCUCAAAUAUAAAACUGAAAUACUGUACAUAAAAGAGUAAAUAAAGAACAAUAAAUAGUAAGUAAUACGAGUCCAACGACUUAAAAGUUAAUUUUAAAAAAAUUUGUCGUUACCGACAGUGAAAUGUGGCGCGUUCAGUAAAAACGAUUUGGAUUCUGAACUGGAAACUCUUCUUUCCUCGGCUCUCAGCAAAACCGCCGCAAGAUGGCGGCCAUCUGUCGUCAAUGGUGUUUCGAUGCCGUAAAACCACCAUCGAAGAAGAAAACGCGGAAGUGCGACGUUGAAGUGUUGUUGUGAUCAUCGAACGAUCUACACCAUCAAAAUGUUGAAAUCCUUGGUAAGGGAGCGACGGAAUUUUCGGACUGUUUGAAAGAUCGAUAGCGUCGUACGAGGAGCAACUUUGUGGAGCGAGAGAGACCGAGCGACAACGACGACAACUGGAAGCUGUUUGCGACACUCAAAUUGUCUCACGCGUCCAAGACGUUCAGCAGCUGAUUGUAUACUCCAGUUUCCAGCAAGAGGAUCCACAACCAUCCCACGUUCAAGAGGAGGAGGCUGAAGUCAGUAGGUUGCCACUGACUGGUGAUGACGAAGAAGAACCACCCAAAUGGUCACAGCUUCAUCAUCAGGCUCCAAGUGGAGACCACUGUGGAGGACCACCACCAGACAACCUCUCAGCUCCACUGUCAAGACAGCGACGACAUGGAAGAACCUUUGAGGAGCGAUGAGGACCGUGAAGGUGACGACAAACAGUUGAAAUGCUCUGAAAAGGAGACGAUGGUGAACGGGAAAACUUAUCAGACAUGCCGGAGACGACACACAUGUAAAGGACGUUUGAGCUGCUCAAGUGGUGGUAAAAGAUUAACUCACAAGGCAAACAUGGAAACACACAGGAGAAAAUCCCUUAGGUACGUCAGUUUGCAGAGAAGCGUUCACUCUCAAAGACAACAUGGUAAAACACAUGAGAACACCCACAGGAGAAAAACCCUUUGGUUGCUCAUUGUGCAGCAAAAAAUUCUUUUUUAGGGUUUGGGAGCACACAUGACAACACACACAGGAGAAAACCCCUUCUGUUGUUCAACUUGUGGUGAAACCUAUCAAAAGUCAAGCAUGGAAUCACACAUGAGAACACACAGAGGGGAAAAAACAAUUUUAGUUGCUCAGUUUGUGGUUCAACAUUCUCUCUAAAGGAAUAUGUGAACUCACACACGAGGAUACAUACAGAGGAAACACACACGCAAGAAAAAACAUUUGGCUGCUCAAUGUCUACUAAAACAGUCUGUCAAAGGUCACAUCUGGAAUUAUACGUGAGAACACACACAGGAGAAAAACCCUUUAAGUGUUCAAUUUGUGGCAGAAGCUAUGCUCAGCGAAGAAGUUUAACUGCACACAUGCGGACACAAAGAGAAAAUAAAUGUUUUGCAGUAGUCCCCUUCAAUAUUCCAUAAUACGAAGCAGACCACGUAUUGUUUUUGUUGAGUGUGUGUAUUCUCCUAAAGACCGGUAAUUGGUUUACUUUGUAUUUGUUGGGCGGCACGGUGGCCGACUGGUUAGAGCGUCAGCCUCACAGUUCUGAGGACCCGGGUUCAAUCCCCGGCCCCGCCUGUGUGGAGUUUGCAUGUUCUCCCCGUGCCUGCGUGGGUUUUCUCCGGGCACUCCGGUUUCCUCCCACAUCCCAAAAACAUGCCUGAAUUGGAGACUCUAAAUUGCCCGUAGGCAUGACUGUGAGUGCAAAUGGUUGUUUGUUCCUAUGUGCCCUGCGAUUGGCUGGCAACCAGUUCAGGGUGUACCCCGCCUCCUGCCCGAUGACAGCUGGGAUAGGCUCCAGCACGCCCGCGACCCUAGUGAGGAGAAGCGGCUCAGAAAAUGGAUGGAUGGAUGGAUGUAUUUGUUGGUGCUGGAGUCUAUCCCAGCUGACUACGGCUGAGAGGUGGGGUACGCCCUGAACUGGUCACCAGCCAAUUACCGGGCACAUAUAGACAAAACAACCAUUCACACCAGUUAAGAGUUUUCAAUUAACCUAGCAUGCAAUUUUUUGGAGUUGGUAACCCACACAGGCACGGUGAGAACAUGCAAAAUUGUUGAGAGGGACAGUAUUUAUGCCCUCGGUUGAUGUGCAGUAUUAUGCUUGGGCCACAGUGAGGUGCUAGGACACGUGAUAUAGGACGCAUUCCUGUAUCAUCACGUAUUUUAUGUUUGCUUCCUUCCUUGAGUGUCAGGAGAGUUUUUGAAUGCUUUAAUACUUUCAUGGCUGCAAGCUCCGAGAAACUGAUUUGUUCCCUAAUAAAUUUGCCAUACUUGGAUACAUAUA